rnacentral:rRNA from 1 species
UACGUAGGGCGCAAGCGUUGUCCGGAAUUAUUGGGCGUAAAGAGCUCGUAGGCGGUCCGUCACGUCGGGAGUGAAAACUCGGGGCUCAACCCCGAGCCUGCUUCCGAUACGGGCGGACUAGAGGUAGGUAGGGGAGAACGGAAUUCCUGGUGUAGCGGUGGAAUGCGCAGAUAUCAGGAGGAACACCGGUGGCGAAGGCGGUUCUCUGGGCCUUACCUGACGCUGAGGAGCGAAAGCGUGGGGAGCGAACAGG